rnacentral:rRNA from 1 species
AACGAACGCUGGCGGCAUGCCUAACACGUGCAAGUCGAACGAGAUCUUCGGGUCUAGUGGCGCACGGGUGCGUAACGCGUGGGAAUCUGCCCUUUGGUUCGGAAUAACAGUUGGAAACGACUGCUAAUACCGGAUGAUGACGAAAGUCCAAAGAUUUAUCGCCAGAGGAUGAGCCCGCGUAGGAUUAGCUAGUUGGUGUGGUAAAGGCGCACCAAGGCGACGAUCCUUAGCUGGUCUGAGAGGAUGAUCAGCCACACUGGGACUGAGACACGGCCCCGACUCCUACGGGAGGCAGCAGUGGGGAAUAUUGGACAAUGGGCGAAAGCCUGAUCCAGCGAUGCCGCGUGAGUGAUGAAGGCCUGAGGGUUGUAAAGCUCUUUUACCCGGGAUGAUAAUGACAGUACCGGGAGAAUAAGCUCCGGCUAACUCCGUGCCAGCCGCCGCAGUAA